rnacentral:rRNA from 1 species
UUCUUGGUCAUUUAGAGGAAGUAAAAGUCGUAACAAGGUUUCCGUAGGUGAACCUGCGGAAGGAUCAUUAAAGAAAUUUAAUAAUUUUGAAAAUGGAUUUUUUUGUUUUGGCAAGAGCAUGAGAGCUUUUACUGGGCAAGAAGACAAGAGAUGGAGAGUCCAGCCGGGCCUGCGCUUAAGUGCGCGGUCUUGCUAGGCUUGUAAGUUUCUUUCUUGCUAUUCCAAACGGUGAGAGAUUUCUGUGCUUUUGUUAUAGGACAAUUAAAACCAUUUCAAUACAACACACUGUGGAGUUUUCAUAUCUUUGCAACUUUUUCUUUGGGCAUUCGAGCAAUCGGGGCCCAGAGGUAACAAACACAAACAAUUUUAUCUAUUCAUUAAAUUUUUGUCAAAAACAAGAAUUUUCGUAACUGGAAAUUUUAAAAUAUUAAAAACUUUCAACAACGGAUCUCUUGGUUCUCGCAUCGAUGAAGAACGCAGCGAAAUGCGAUACGUAAUGUGAUUUGCAGAAUUCCGUGAAUCAUCGAAUCUUUGAACGCACAUUGCGCCCCUUGGUAUUCCAGGGGGCAUGCCUGUUUGAGCGUCAUUUCCUUCUCAAACAUUCUGUUUGGUAGUGAGUGAUACUCUUUGGAGUUAACUUGAAAUUGCUGGCCUUUUCAUUGGAUGUUUUUUUUCCAAAGAGAGGUUUCUCUGCGUGCUUGAGGUAUAAUGCAAGUACGGUCGUUUUAGGUUUUACCAACUGCGGCUAAUCUUUUUUUAUACUGAGCGUAUUGGAACGUUAUCGAUAAGAAGAGAGCGUCUAGGCGAACAAUGUUCUUAAAGUUUGACCUCAAAUCAGGUAGGAGUACCCGCUGAACUUAAGCAUAUCAAUAAGCGGAGGAA